ACGUAGGUGGCGAGCGUUGUCCGGAAUCACUGGGCGUAAAGGGCGCGUAGGCGGUCAUGCAAGUCGCAUGUGAAGGACCAGGGCUUAACUCUGGGGUGUCAUGCGAAACUGUGUGACUUGAGUGCAGUAGAGGGAAGCGGAAUUCCUGGUGUAGCGGUAAAAUGCGUAGAGAUCAGGAGGAACACCGGUGGCGAAGGCGGCUUUCUGGGCUGUAACUGACGCUGAUGCGCGAAAGCGUGGGGAGCAAACAG
rnacentral:rRNA from 1 species